ensembl:antisense_RNA anr-18 ncRNA
UUGUGAUUUAUCAUCUUUGCGAAUCGAGAUCCAAAUGUGAAAACCGUCAUCAAAUGUCAUAGCUUUAACGGAAAUGACCAUCGUAUCAUCGAUCCAAAAUGCGAUUUCAUUUGGGAAUUCAUUGCAUUUGAUGAAAUCUUCAUCAAAUUCAACAUACUCUUCAUAUUCCUCAAUGUCAAAAAUCGCAGAAUCUUUAUCUUCUGCCAGUACACGGAACACUUUGUAUAAAUCUUCCACCAAUUCGACAUCGCAAGUCACGAAGCAACGAGAUAAGCCUUCUUUCCGAUUUUGCUGGAUCAUAGUGUCGAUCAAAUUGAGAAAAUCGAAAACUUCUCCACUAUAAAUCCGUCUUCAAAAUCUCGUCUUGCUCAAUUCGUGACAGCAUUUCCAUUGAGAGAGAUUGCGGGAUAAUGAUUGAAUAUAAUGGGAUGCUUUUACGAUCGAUAAAUCGAUCAAUAAGCGGAUUGUCAGACGACCAAUAUACAAAAUAUCCAACUUUGAAUUUCUCAAAGGAUUCUGGCAGCUCAAGAAUUAGACCAUCUUCUGGAACUUCCAAAUAGGAAACAUUGAUCUUGGAACGUCGUCCAUCGAGUUGGUUCAUCGUAAGUGUGGCAGGAUCAUCAAACUGCAAAAAUUAGUCAUUGAGGUAGUCGUUGUCUAGAAAGGCAAAAGUCUUACUUUGCUUUCAGUGCCAAUUGUAUAUUUUACUUCAUUUACUCUGAUUGAAUUACGACCCAAUACCAGGUCAGUCAUAAUGAGAGGCUGUGCCUUCUCAAGUUUUUCAAGCGAUGGGCACUGUGCGACGAGUCGGAAUCUGAAAAUUGUGUGUUGAUUAGGCUACUUAAACUGUUUCGCUCACCUUCUAUUCGCCUCCAAGUACUUGAUAACGCAUGACAGUGCUGGAUACGAGAUCGGCUUCGAGUCCAUACUCGUAGAUGUCCGAAAAUUUCGCAGAAAAAGCUGGAAGAACACUUAAUAUCCGAAAAAACCUCAAAAUUUGAAAAUAAAGACGGCAAAUAUGCUUUAUAACGUUGUUGAGAUAAUACAAAUUGAAAGUGUGUUAAAUUAGGAAAUUAGGCACAAAAUUGAAGAUUUUUCAAAAACGGAGUCACUCAGAAUCGUCAGUUUCGCGAUUUAUGUGUCGUAAAAUAUGUCAUUUUGUAGAGAAAAAGCUGUUUUACAAAAAAUUAUGUUUGAGAUUUUGAUUAAUUAUACAGAAAGAUUUAUAAAAUAGUUGAUUUU